AUUGAACGCUGGCGGCAUGCUUUACACAUGCAAGUCGAACGGCAGCGCGGGCUUCGGCCUGGCGGCGAGUGGCGAACGGGUGAGUAAUACAUCGGAACGUGCCCAGCAGUGGGGGAUAGCUCGGCGAAAGCCGGAUUAAUACCGCAAAAGACCUGAGGGUGAAAGCGGGGGAUCUUCGGACCUCGCGCUCUUGGAGCGGCCGAUGGCGGAUUAGCUAGUUGGUGGGGUAAAGGCCUACCAAGGCGACGAUCUGUAGCUGGUCUGAGAGGACGACCAGCCACACUGGGACUGAGACACGGCCCAGACUCCUACGGGAGGCAGCAGUGGGGAAUUUUGGACAAUGGGCGAAAGCCUGAUCCAGCAAUGCCGCGUGUGUGAUGAAGGCCUUCGGGUUGUAAAGCACUUUUGGCGGGAACGAAAAGGACUGUGCCAAUACCACGGUUCGAUGACGGUACCCGCAGAAUAAGCACCGGCUAACUACGUG
rnacentral:rRNA from 1 species